GGGGUUGUGGCUCAGCGGUAGAGCGCUCACCUUGCAUAUGAGAGGCGCUGGGCUCAAUCCUCAGCACCA
rnacentral:tRNA from 1 species